rnacentral:misc_RNA from 1 species
AGCAGCCGCGGUAAUUCCAGCUCCAAUAGCGUAUAUUAAAGUUGUUGCAGUUAAAAGCUCGUAGUUGAAUUUCGGGAUCAAUAUGUUGGUCGUGCCUCGGUACGUACUAGCAUAUUGGUUUCUCCUUUCUGAAGAACCAUGAUGUCAUUUAUUUGGUGUCGUGGGGAAUCAGGACUGUUACUUUGAAAAAUUAGAGUGUUUAAAGCAGGCUCACGCUUGAAUACAUUAGCAUGGAAUAAUGAAAUAGGACGUUUGAUUCUAUUUUGUUGGUUUCUAGGAUCGACGUAAUGAUUAAUAGGGAUAGUUGGGGGCAUUAGUAUUCAAUUGUCAGAGGUGAAAUUCUUGGAUUUAUUGAAGACUAACUACUGCGAAAGCAUUUGCCAAGGAUGUUUUCAUUAAUCAAGAACGAAAGUUAGGGGAUCGAAGACGAUCAGAUACCGUCGUAGUCUUAACCAUAAACUAUGCCGACUAGGGAUCGGAUGAUGUUAAUUUUUAAUGUA